rnacentral:lncRNA from 1 species
AACAUAGUCCUCAGGGAAUGGAGGCCUACGGAUGAGGACAGAGCUAAGGAAGGGAAUCAUGGAUGGCUCCUGGAAUGCCAUUGGAGUUGACCCCAAACUCUGCCUUGUUAGUUUUAAGACUCCUGUCGCAGGAUUGCUUAUCUUGUUGUCCAAGUGUUUUUGCCUUCAUGUGCACAGUACAUUUCCCAACCACAGGUGCUCGGCUUUCAAGUCACCCCAGAGGGAAAUGUUCCUUAAUCACCAUCGUUAGUAUUGCCAGCAGCUUCAGGGUGCCAACUUCGUACUUCUGGGCUAAGUGCUUUGUAAGUAAGUAGACAGACUGGAGUCAGACGACAGUACACAAAAUCUUGUCAUUCAUAAGUUGUUAAUUUUGAGUAAGUGGCUUCAUUUCUUUGUCUUUAAGGUGGAGAGGGCCAUCAUGUCUUUUUUUGUUGUUGUUGUUUUUCGAGACAGGAUUUCUCUGUGUAGCCCUGGCUGUCCUGGAACUCACUUUGUAGACCAGGCUGGCCUCGAACUCAGAGAUCCACCUGCCUCUACCUCCAGAGUGCUGGGAUUAAAGGCGUGCGCCACCACGCCCGGCUUCACAAGCAUUUUUGAGAGAGUUUAGAUAAUCCACAUAUGUAAAGUGCUCAGAACAGUAGCUAGGGUACCCUAAAUGCCAAACAAUUACUAAUGACAUUACCUACAUUUAUCUUUACAACACUUUGAAGUAAAUAUUAUAUCUCUUAUACUAGGCAAGAGUAAGAAACGUUUUCAGCUUUGGGCAACAGAAAAACAUGACUAACAGUGGCUCCUGGUUUUGCUUCCUCUCUCAGAUAAUGAGCAAGCAAGGGGUCGAGGUAAGUGGCUGCUGGCACUGGGUCCUGGCUCAGAGAUGUCAGAGCCAGCGCCUCAGAACUUUCUAGGGCUUUCCUUCAAGGUGGUAUUGUUCCAGUUCCAAAUAUCAUGUUCAACAACAACAACAACAACAACAACAACAAAAACAAAACCCAAGAGCAGGGGAAGAAACUGGGGCUGUGUGUGUCCAUUUGCUUCUUUUUUGCUUUCUUUCAUCAGAAAAACUAAAACAUUUUCCACUAAAGUCUGCUUCUGUUCUGUUGGCCGAAACUGUCACUUGGCUACUCCUAGCUGAAAAGGCUCAUGGGAAGUGAGUCUUUAACUUUCCCAGUUUACACAAUAGAAGGCAACAGGGGAGAAGGGAGCAGAAGAUAACUAUUGUCAGCUAUCUGGCUAUGUGCCACACCUUAGAAAAGGAGAGGAAGUGAAAUACACAGGCAAGAGAAACCAUGGAAAUUUCCCCAAGAUAGAUUAAAAAGUGAACCAUGAGGGGGAGGUAUGCUGGGACAAAUAACAGCAGAUAAAGGGAGAAGGCAGGUGGUUAGAAAAAUCAGACUUCAUAAACUAAGCUGUGUUGGGCCUGACUGUUAAUAGAAAGUCUUGCGACCAAAAUCCAUACACCUUGUGGAUCCAAACAUUUCCAAUUCUAAAGCGACAUGGCGAUACCUGCGUUGAUGGAGCAUGCCAUCGUGAGAACCUGCGGAGACACAAUGGAAGCAAGACUAUAAGAUGAGAUUUCAAUAGAUGGAAAACCCUUUAUGGAUACCUAUAAAGUAUACCGUAGGAUACCGUGUAUCAUAUCAAUAAGGGGUUAGCCUUGCUCAGGAGCCUGAUGGGAAACAGAUGGCUUUUGAAUGUUGCGCCAAGUGUAAAAGAAUGAGCGCGGUGUGAUGACUGAAAGAGCCUAAAGGUGGCGCUCGUGGAGCUAGUAAGAGAAACCCUGUCUCGAAAAACCAAAACCAAAACCAAACCAAACCAAACCAAACAAAACAAAACAAAACAAAAACAAAAAUAAUCAACAUUUUAGCCUUGUUAAGUGAAUAGUUCUUUGGCAUCAAGUUCUUUCACCAUCCAAUUCUAGAACGUUCCCAUCUUCCUUUACUGGACUUUGACCCAUCACACACUAAGCCCUCAUCCUAGCCUCUUACCAGGCUUGGCAACUGUCUGAUAAAAUAAAUAAGGCUUCCUACUCCUUAUUUCCCUGCAUCCUGGCCCACAGGGACCUGGGUUUACCACCCUUGUUUCUUGGGGUUUUAGAGCCAUCUCCUAGGUUAUAUUUCCUUCUGUAUAAUUUUCACAGGAUCACUUUGUUUUGUGCUGUUCAGAGGAAUAAGCUUGGGUAACCUGGAAAUGUUAUAGGCUGUCCCCUGUCUAUGGAUGGAUCCAUCCAUUCACGGAUGGACCCAUCAUUGAUGGACAGUGAGCUGCAUGCCUGUAGCUCUGUGAGCCAGGCCGACCCUCUGUAAGGAUGCCAAAGAAGGAGGUACGCUUCAUCAUGGGACAUUCUCACCUCUUCUCCCACGAGCUCUCUUCUGACUGAUGAUUCCCUGAUCCGUGAAAGGAAAAUUGGAUCAAGGACUACAAACUGUUUUCAUUGAAAACAGGUUGGUUAAGCUAUUGAGCCAGUCUGCCCAGACAUGAGUCACCGGCAGUUAAAGCCAGGUUAAAGGUAAUAAUAUUGCUGGAAUACAGCCUUUUAGGGCAAGCGUUCAACAAAAGCAGGGCUAAUUAACAAAGGGUGGUGGUGAUGCUGGGUGGUGGGACCUCAAGCAAUGGGAGACCUGGAGGCCAAACUCAGUCCAGACAGAUCUUAUUGGACCUGUGUGAGGUAUUUUUAAAUAUGAUUAGCUGGUGAAUUUGAAAAUCAAAUUUCUGGUUUGGGUUGAAAAUGUUGGCAACACUCCUAGAAUCCUGCCUGGUAAAAGAAAUAAGGUUUCCCACUCGUUAUUUCCCUACAGCCUGGCCCACAGGACCCAGGGUUUGCAACUCUUGUUUCUUGGGGGUUUAGAGCCAACUUCUAGGUUAUAUUUAAUAAGAUAUCAAAGAAACAAUUAAUUAUAGCUACAAGAUAAUUAAAAUAAGGAAACCUUUGAAAAUGAACAGAUUCUGUGGGUGUUAUUAAAAGAUGAGUUAAGUUUCAGAUAUACUUGAAAAGUUGAUAAAGUAAUAUAAAACAAUAUCAGUCAAUAUGUAUUUGUGUGUAUUUGUAACACCCUAACAUUUUCAAUCUGCACUCUGAACUUUCCCCCACACACACUGCAUACUAAAGGGUACUUUAUGCUUUAGUUAUGGGUUAGAUUUAUGCCUUUGUAUGUGGUUCUCAUUAUAGCUGAAUAAAUGUUAUGUUCUUAGGUAUAGUUAUUCAUGAUAACUUAUUUUCUGUUUUGGUUUCAUUAGAGUGUAAGUUUACGAAGAGUAGACAUCUUCAUUUGAUUUCCAGAGCUAAGGAUAAUUCCUGACACAAUAGCAGAAACCCAGUGGCUAUGGGCAGGGAGGAUGAACUCCCAAAUGUGUGUCUGUGACAGAACCAGUAAUCUAAGGUAUGUUACUUAUGUAAGCCACCUUCUUCAUAUUCAGGGAGCUCGUUAGAAUUAUAAAAAGAAGCCGGGAAGUGGUAGAUCACAUCUUUUAUAAGCACUCAGCACUCAAGAGUGGAUCUCUGCGAGUUCAAGGCCAGCCUGGUUUACAAACUGAGUUCUAGGACAGUCAGGGCUACACAGAGAAAGCCUGUCUCAAAAUUAGAAAACAAAACAAAACAAAAUUAUGGAAGCAAGUCAUAAACUGGGUAUGGUGGUGCAUGUGUUUAAUCCCAGCACUCAGAAGGCAGAGGCAGGUGGAUCUCUGUGAGUUUGAGACCAGCCUGGUCUAGACAGUGAAUUCUAGGGUAGUCAUGAUUACAUAACAAGGCCCCGUCUCAAGAACAAGCAAAUAAUUAAAAACUAGAUAUAAAACAGGAAACAAUAAGGUGUGUGUGUGUGUGUGUAUUUGUCUUAUUAGAGGUUCCUGAGCAAGUGACUUGUUUGUACUUUGGAAGUUCCGUGUCUUAUUACCUGAUUGAAAGACAAAUUCCUAAGAGGAAGUUGUUGGGGCUCCAGAGAAAAGGAAAAGCCUGGGAGGUUCCAGGGAUAAUAGUUGGGAGUAUCUCCUACAGGAGCAGAGACCUCAGGACUGGUUUGACUGCAACAAACAGAAAGUCAGUUUGAAUUCCUGUGAGCGAAAGAGCUUUAUUGGCCUAUAAAACUGAACUGCAGAGAAAGUAGAUGACGGGAACACUUGGCAGCCAAUGCCUGGAGUCACCCCACUCCCGUCUGCAGCUGCUUCUCUGCAUCCACUCCCUUUAUGAGGCUAGAGCCACAUCUGCCACCUCUCCCAGACCCUCAUCCUCCUGUCUGACCCCAGCCAUGACGAAACAUGCUUGCUUAGUGCCAAAUGCCUGUCACACUUUGUUUGUUUUGAUGGAUUAAAACUGAGAAAAGAGCACCCAUGGAAAGUCACAGACUCACCUUAUCUCAGAGCUCCAUAAAAGUCAUCCGAUGAUCUUACAGACUUAUCCAAUGUAUCAGACAUGUCUGGCAAUAUUCCCAACAAAUGAUCUUUCAACUAGCACUGAACCGCUUAUGCCCCAUUCAGGCACUCCACGGCACUGUAAAAAAAAAAAAAAAAAAAAAAAAAAAAACAAACGCUCCACGUUGUCACAGAGUUGUUCUUUACAGUCAGAUAACAUCUACCACCAGUUGAUAAAACCGCUUGGUCCA